UUAAAAAUACAAACAGAUAUGUAUAGGAAUUUGAAUUCUUUCAUAUCCAGUUAAAUUCUUUUGACUGAAUAGGAAGAGUCAAAAAGAUGAUUUUAAUGAGAGAAUAUUACACUUUUAGACAUUUUUUAAAAACUAUUUCCAUGUUUAGGCACUUUCAAAAGACUAGACACUUUCUUUAUGUUUUUUUACUAAAAUAACUUCUAACUAAAAUAUUCUCUUAAUCCACGUUUUUUUUCUUUCUCUCUCCUCUCUCUCUCUCUCUCUCCCUCUCUCUCUCUCCCUCUCUCUCCCUCUCUCUCUCUCUUCAUCUUUGUAAAAAAUGAAAAGAAACUUCUUCUUCUUCAACAACAGCGGCUUGAUUUGAUUUUUGCUUUCUCUCAUGUGUCAAACUCGUUUCAUCUACGUAGCAUCGAGAUUUCAGUUAAUCGAAUCUCCUGUUAUCAUGGACAUGCUAUAUAGAAUAGAUAUAGAUCAGUAAAAAGGUUUCUGAAUGGAUAUAUUUAAAUGGAUUCGUUAUUAUGGAUACCAAAAAAUUGUUUGUUGAUUUUUCUUUCAGUUUGCAGAGACCUCCACCUUCAAGACCUUAUGGACAUGGAACUUUGGUUUCUUUACAAAACACGAUUAAUCGAAUCUUCUGUUAUUAUUGACAUGAUAUAUAGAAUAGAUACGGAUCAGUAGAAAGGUUUCUGAAUGGAUAUAUUUAAAUGGACUCGUUAUUAUGGAUACCAAAAAAUUAUUUGUUGAUUUUUCUUUCAGUUUGCAGAGACCUCCACAUUCAAGACCUUAUGGACAUGGAACUUUGGUUUCUAUACGAACCACGGUUAAUUGAAUCUCCUGUUAUUAUGGACAUGGUAUAUAGAUUAGAUAUGGAUCAGUAAAAAGGUUUCCGAGUGGAUAUAUUUAAAUGGACUCGUUUAGGCACUUUUAGAGAAUUUUAUUCCUUUUGAGGCACUUGUCAGGGAUGAGGCACUUUUCCAACUUUUUCAUUAAACUUUUGACAAAUUUGCCCCUGAAAAUUAAAAAAUUAUAAUUAAAAAAAAAGUUUCAUCUCUCCACGUUCCUUUUUUUUCCUUCUUCUUCCUCUCUCUCUCUCUCUCUCUCUCUCUCUCUCUCUCUCUCUCUUCUCUCUCUCUUCUCUCUCUCUCUUCUCAUUAUUACUUUUUUUUCUUUCCUUGCAAAAUCAAACAUUUAAGAGUUUAUCAAAAUCAAACAUUUGAGAGUUUAUGGAAAACCCAAGUUGGCAAAUUCCAGUAUUAAAUUUCAUAUCCAUUUGAUCGCCUUGUUUGGUACAAUUUAAUUCUUUCUUGAUAAAUUGAUGUUUCAUUGAACGUCUAACCUUAAAAGCAUAUUCUUUUGCUUAUGAGAAUCACUUAUUUCCACAUGGUUACGUUUACGUGGACAAGUUAUCAUGGAGACAAACUAGCAUCAUUUUUUAUCUUCUCUGUCUUCCAUGUUUUUUUUUUCAUCAUUUUUAUUUUCUUUUUCAAAAUCAUCAAUCAUGGUGGUUCUCUAUAAUUCUUACAAAUCAUAGAAAUUCUGAGAUUAUCUCAAAAUUCUCUAUCAUAACUUAAAAACGAAGAAUAUAUUAAGAAUCAACAACAGAACAUUGCUGCUACAAUUGAUCUUCUUACACGCUUUAUAUACUUAAACUUGAGUACUUGGACACUCAUCAAUGGACAACUAUGCUUCAGAUGUGAGUUACUAGAUGACCACUUGGACUAGAGUGCUUGGACACUUAUCAAUGGACAACUAUGCUUCAAAUGUGAGUUAUUAGAUGACCAUUUGGACUUGAAUGCUUGGACACUCAUCAAUGGACAACUAUGCCUCAGAUGAAGUUACAUCGACAAUGGCCUUUUUGCUGCUACUCGCGUUCUCAACAUCACGAACCGUUUCAAGCCCAGAUUGCUUAGAAGGUAACUGAUCAUGGUUAACAUCCUCACUUUUCAUUGUAAUCGAUGACAGAGAUUCCUUAAUCAAGGAGAGAAAUAAAUGGAACCAAAUCAAAUAAUUGUUGAGAGACAGGGAAGAUGAUGAUAAAUCAUAUGAAAUUGGGUUUUUAGUUUUGAUUUGGAAUAUUGAGAUUCCCGUAAAAAAUUGGUUUUGAUUUUGGAAAGAGAGAGAAAUAAAGACGAUAGAGAAAAGAGUUGAGAGAGAAAAUGAGGAGAAAGCGUUGUGGUUCAGAGGGCAAUUUGGGAAUUUUGAUUUGGUAAAGUGCCUUCUCCUUUCAAAGUGCCUAUUUGUGGCUAAAGUUUCAAAAUAGUACCUCUACGUGUAAUAUUCUCAUAAAAUUAUCUAAAAGUGCCUAAACGUGUCAUAUUGCCUUUUAAUGAUUGUGUUUGUCAAACUUGACGAAGCCCAAACCUUUCGGAGCCCACUUGCAUACAAUCCCUUAUUCCCCUU
rnacentral:sRNA from 1 species